rnacentral:snRNA from 10 species
AUACUUACCUGGACGGGGUGAAUGGGCGAGCAAGAAGGCCUAUGGCCUAGGUUGGUGACCUCCAUUGCACUUUGAAUUCUAAGGAGAUAGAAAACCAAGUCUGGUGGAUGAAUAGUGGCUAUGAGACUAGAGCGUGAUUAACAACCACCGUGGCCUUUGGGUCAUGGUGC